GGGGCUGUGGUUCAGUGGUAGAGCACUUGCCUAGCAUGCAUGAGGCACCAGGUUCGAUCCCUGGCACCA
rnacentral:tRNA from 1 species